CCACCGGACCUGCACACUCAGGAGCAGACUCAGCUAGAUUGGAAGAGAGGAUGGGAAGACAAUGGAUGACCUACCUGUGGAGAGAAACUACCCAUUCCAGAACCUCCUCUCUGCUGAAAGCUGAACACUCAAUGGGAAGACCUGUUUGCAGAGAGGAGCCAGCCACUCCAGGGUCUCCGUUCUGCUAGAAGCUGAACACUCGUUGGGACACCCUUGCUGUGGAAAGGACAUCCUUACUGUGGAAAUGAGCUACUAACUGCAGUCCUUACAUGAAGCCUACUCAGACCGACAUCACUGUAUCAUUUUUUUGUAUUCUGAAGUCCUUCAGCACUUGAUUCCUUUAAGUUUAAUCUUGGUAUUCUAUUGGGAAUCAUAUGGAAAUGUACAAUGAUAUUUAUUGAAUGAACAGGAAACAGGGAAAGACAUUGACCAGAAAAAGUGUUUAUUCAUCAAGUCUUUAAAGAUACAAAAACACGUGUCUUCUGUGGAGCUCUGAGAACAGGACUCCAGCAAAGCACUUUUCAGCCUUGUGGUCUUCAAGCAUUUCCAAGAUCUGUGACAUUGGAAAGAAAAAAAAUUAAGACAGAUUUGGGUCUCCAUGAGCAGAGAGUAUUCUUUCCCUUAGUUCUGGGUAGCAUAGUGCCCAAGGAAACCUAAUCAGUACAGUGGGAAACCAAAUCUAUUCCAAAUCAUUACCCAUAAGCAAUCCUAUGGACUCUCUGAGGUUUGACAGAGUCAGCGGCCCUCUCCAAUAAAUGUGUUUUUCUAUAAUAAUGUGCAGUGUGAGUAAUUUGAUGUUUUUGACAAAUAUUUACCCAGCGUUUUAUGAAGGAGAAGGUUUGGGGGGCAAGCUGAAGGAGCUCUGACUGCCUUUUGGAGGAGUGUGAGUGGCUUACCUUUGCUGCAAGGAGCAUUGUACUCAGCAAUUGCAAACUCAUCUGAAAAAAAAAAAACCAACAAAAAACCAGAAAUCAUUACAUGAAGUGAGAAAGAAAGCAAACAUCUGUGGGAUACAGGCCAAGGAAGGAGUUUGUUGUGGGAAGAACAGUAUUGUACCAGAAACAUAAGCAUCAUUCAUCUGAUGUGUUGCUUGCUACCUUAUAUUCUCCUUUCAAAUAUAGUGUUUUAUAUAUUCUUUUAUCCCAAACUCCUGAAGGACUCUUCAGAUGUUCUACUUACUUAAAUCUCAUAUUGUCAUACAGUCCAUUUAUCUGAUGAAAAGGGAACUAAAUAUCCCACAGGUGUUUUGUAUUAGUAGUUGAUAAAUUUAUAAUGUAGGUUGUUUCUAUAAUGUAUGUAUAAGAGACAAAAAGAGGGGCAUCAGACUUGAUGGAGACAAAAUGAAGUGAUAAUGUAAUUACUUAAUGUAAUAAAUAACCCCAACACAUCUCCUAAACC
ensembl:lncRNA A2M-AS1 A2M antisense RNA 1